rnacentral:rRNA from 1 species
UACGUAGGGGGCAAGCGUUGUCCGGAUUUAUUGGGCGUAAAGAGCGUGUAGGCGGCCUUACAGGUCAGCUGUGAAAACUCGAGGCUCAACCUCGAGACGUCGGUUGAAACCGUAAGGCUAGAGUCCGGAAGAGGAGAGUGGAAUUCCCGGUGUAGCGGUGAAAUGCGCAGAUAUCGGGAGGAACACCGGUGGCGAAGGCGGGUCUCU